UAUAGUGAUUAAUUGGAGUUCUAGUUCAUUUACUUUCGUAGAAAAUUAAGAGUGUUUAAAGCAGCCUCUUGGGGCGACUGAAUACAUUAGCAUGGGAUAUAAAAUAGGAUCUUCACAAUAUAUUUUAUUGGUUUAAAUUGCGUAUGAAGAUAAUGAUUAAUAGGGACAGUUGGGGGUAUUCAUAUUGGGUGGUUAGCGGUGAAAUGCUCGGAUCCAUUCAAGAUGAACUAAAGCGAAAGCAUUUACCAAGGAUGUUUUCAUUAAUCAAGAACGAAAGUUAAGGGGAUCGAAGACGAUUAGAUACCGUCGUAGUCUUAACUAUAAACUAUGCCGACCAGGGAUAUGAGUUGUUAGGAUUAUAUGAAAGUAUAAUCAAUUUCUUCUUAUGAACCUUGUGAGAAAUCAUAAGUUUUUUGGGUUCUGGGGGGGAGUAUGGUCGCAAGGCUGAAACUUAAAGGAAUUGACGGAGGGGC
rnacentral:rRNA from 1 species